GCGUCGGUAGCUCAAUUGGUCAGAGCGGAUCUCGCGACAGCAGAUAACCGAAAGCGAUGCGGGUUCGAGUCCCGUCCGACGCA
rnacentral:tRNA from 1 species